rnacentral:rRNA from 1 species
UGGGGAAUUUUGGACAAUGGGCGAAAGCCUGAUCCAGCAAUGCCGCGUGUGUGAAGAAGGCCUUCGGGUUGUAAAGCACUUUUGUCCGGAAAGAAAUCCUCUGGGUUAAUACCUCGGGGGGAUGACGGUACCGGAAGAAUAAGCACCGGCUAACUACGUGCCAGCAGCCGCGGUAAUACGUAGGGUGCAAGCGUUAAUCGGAAUUACUGGGCGUAAAGCGUGCGCAGGCGGUUUUGUAAGACGGAUGUGAAAUCCCCGGGCUUAACCUGGGAACUGCAUUCGUGACUGCAAGGCUAGAGUAUGGCAGAGGGGAGUAGAAUUCCACGUGUAGCAGUGAAAUGCGUAGAGAUGUGGAGGAAUACCGAUGGCGAAGGCAGCCCCCUGGGCCAAUACUGACGCUCAUGCACGAAAGCGUGGGGAGCAAACA